UACGGAGGGUGCGAGCGUUGUCCGGAAUCAUUGGGCGUAAAGGGCGCGUGAGGUGCCCGGUCAGUCUUUGGUGAAAGCGCGGGGCUCAACCCUGCGUCGGCCAGGGAUACUGCCGCGGCUCGAGCACUGUAGAGGCAGGCGGAAUUCCGGGGUGUAGCGGUGGAAUGCGUAGAGAUCCGGAAGAACACCGGUGGCGAAGGCGGCCUGCUGGGCAGUUUAGCUGACACUGAGGCGCGACAGCGUGGGGGAGCAAACAGG
rnacentral:rRNA from 1 species